GGAUCGAUAGCUCAGCGGUAGAGCUUCCGAUUGCAGAUCGGAUGGUCCCGUGUUCAAUCCACGGUCGGUCCU
rfam:Smittium culicis strain GSMNP scaffold-8951, whole genome shotgun sequence.